GGAUAAGAGAGACCUGCAGUCUGGCUGCCUCAGCAGCGCUCUGGGGAGUCUGCACCAUGGCCUGGACCACACUCCUCCUCCUCCUCACUCUCCUCCUUCACUGCACAGGGUCUCUCUCCCAGCCUGUGCUGACUCAAUCACCCUCUGCCUCUGCUGCCCUGGGAGCCUCAGUCAAGCUCACCUGCACUCUGAGCAGUGGGCACAGUAGCUAUGCCAUCGCAUGGCAUCAGCAGCAGCCAGGGAAGGCCCCUCGGUAUGUGAUGACGCUUACAGGUAGUGGAAGCUACAACAAAGGGGAUGGAAUCCCUGAUCGCUUCUCAGGCUCCAGCUCUGGGGCUGACCGCUACCUCACAAUCUCCAACCUCCAGUCUGAGGAUGAGGCUGAUUAUUACUGUCAGACCUGGAGUAGUGGCAUUCACACAGUGACACAGGCAGAUGAGGAAGUGGGACAAAAACCUCAGCCUGCUUAG